rnacentral:rRNA from 1 species
UACGUAGGGACCGAGCGUUGUCCGGAAUUAUUGGGCGUAAAGAGCUCGUAGGCGGUUUGUCGCGUCUGCUGUGAAAACUCGGGGCUUAACCCCGGGCCUGCAGUGGGUACGGGCAGACUAGAGUGCGGUAGGGGAGACUGGAAUUCCUGGUGUAGCGGUGAAAUGCGCAGAUAUCAGGAGGAACACCGGUGGCGAAGGCGGGUCUCUGGGCCGUAACUGACGCUGAGGAGCGAAAGCGUGGGGAGCGAACAGG